rnacentral:rRNA from 1 species
CCUACGGGAGGCUGCAGUAGGGACUUUUCGGCAAUGGGGGGAACCCUGACCGAGCACCGCCGCGUGAAGGAAGAAGGAAUUCGUUCUGUAUACUUCUGUUUUAAAGGACUAAAGACGGAUGGAGGAAAUGACAUCCGAGUGACGGUACUUUAUGAGAAAUCCACGGCUAACUCCGUGCCAGCAGACGCGGUAAUACGUAGUUGGCAAGCGUUAUCCGUAAUUAUUUGGCGAAAAGAGGGAGAAGGCGGCAGCAAAGGUCUGUGGUGAAAGACUGAAGCUUAACUUCAGGAAGCCAUAGAAACCGGGCAGCUAGAGUGCAGGAGAGGAUCGUGGAAUUCCAUGUGUAGCGGUGAAAUGCGUAGAUAGAUGGAGGAACACCAGUGGCGAAGGCGACGAUCUGGCCUGCAACUGACGCUCAGUCCCGAAAGCGUGGGGAGCAAAUAGGAUUAGAUACCCGAGGAGUC